rnacentral:rRNA from 1 species
CGCGUAGGCGGGCCAUCAAGUCCGGGGUGAAAUCUUUCGGCUUAACCGGAAAAUUGCCUUGGAUACUGGUGGUCUUGAGGGAAGUAGGGGUCUGCGGAACUUCCGGUGGAGCGGUGAAAUGUGUUGAUAUCGGAAGGAACGCCGGUGGCGAAAGACGGCGGACUGGCGUUCUUCUGACGCUGAGGCGCGAAAGCUAGGGAGGCAAACG